AUCAUGGCCAAGAGAAGAAACCGAGAUAAGAAGGGAUGAAAGGGGACGAAGAUGUAAGUAAGUCGAAGCAUUUUUCUCUUUUUCUUUUUUCCCUUCUUUCUUUUGGGGGCAAGCAUCUUAUCAUGAAAGGCGUCCACGUCGAUUCGAAAGGGAGAUUCCUUCGUGGUGUCGUCACGGAUUUCAUGCAUUCCUGCGCGGACGCCGCGGGAGGCUUCCUUAAAACCGAAAGUGAUACCGGGACGCCGCGGACGUGAAAAGACGGGCGGAGAGGCUCAGCCCUCGUACACUCUCUCGCGUGACACGGCUCCAUACGAACGAGUGUGGAGAAAAAACGUGGAGGAACGGGGAGAGAUAAAGAGGAGAGGAUGAAAGAGGAGGUUUUCUUUCUUUUUAUUUAUUCUUUCUUUCCUUUCGCCACGUGACGAACUGAAGUAAGUGCACCUGUGUCACGGCAACCCGACCGGUCGAUCGAUCGGACAGAUAACUCGAACACGGAGGGGAAACAGGUGUAAAUAGGUGGAUAUGACGUUCGAAUUCAUGUAACUCGGAUUGAGACAAAUUUCCUUCACGGGAGGAGAUACUUAAACCAAUCUGAUUAGAAUAUUUUGUAUAACAAAUGGUGAAACAUAUAGUUGAUGCACUUGUGAAUUUUUGAGAAUUGAGCGAAAAGAUUAAAAAUUUUGAAAUAUAAUAACUCGAUAUAGCAGGAAACGAGUAUUGUUUCGGGUCGGCAAGGUAAGGUAAUUAUCGUAGGCAACAGAAGCCAUUUUCUAUAAGGUCGUUUUCUUCAUUUUUUUUUGCCCGCCUUCUAGGUCGUCGAUUUCUUCAACGGCUACGGUUUUUGCUUUAUGCAACGUUCCCGGUGACGCGCAACGAGACCUUCGACGAUCUCGGAGAGAACGAUCAUUCUUGCUUUAUUAGUUUGCUCCUUUGCUCUCGCGCAUUAGGCAACGUGGAAUAUUUCUUCGAUGAACCCGCGAUGUUUCAACUUUCCUUUUCUUUUUUUUUUAAGAUUUCUCUUCGAGUAAUUUGUACACCAAUUAAUUUGAUUUCCCAAAGAUGGAAGGAAACGUUGCCUUUACGAUUUAUAUCGAGAAACGAGAUCGACGACACGAUCCACAAAAAAAAAGAAAGAAAACACGAAGAUCGUGGUCGAUCGAAUCGACCACGUUCUCACGAUACUGCCUCGAUUAAUUUCCCUCUCUUAGGUAAUUCCUUAUCGAGAUCAAUCACGAGAUGCCGCUGCCCCUUUAACGCGAUCGUUUAACACAAACCAUCCUGCUGUCGGGUUCCACGUAUGCCGCCAGGAAACGGGGGUACAACCACAGCUGGCGAAUUUCCAGGCACCUGGCUGGAGAAAGAAGCUGGAAUCGAGUGGUGGAUCUGGAAAAGAAGCGCGAGAGAAGGAGAGAGAGAGAAAGAAAGAAAGAAAGAAAAAAAAGGGAAGAAAGGCACGAAAUCUGGCGGAAGAAAGACGUUCGAGAGAAAUUGAGGAAGGGGUUGGCUAGAGUGAAGCUUCCAGCGCUCCAAAGGACAACGUGUCAAUAAUCUAGUCGAGGCGACUACUCCCCGUGGAUAGAAAUCGUUGUAGUCCUUGAACACUGUGCAAGAUUACGACAAGAUUUAUGGCAAUAUUGAUAAAUUCGUCGAAAUUUGGUAGAGAAUGUUUCGAAUUUCAUUUGAAAUUUUCGUUUCUUGAAACGAAAUGAUUUCACUCGGAAUGAAAAGAAUUGUAAAAAUGGCGUGAAAAUAAUUAAGUUCCAAGAAAGAAGAUUUUAAAGCAUUGUGUAAAGAUUUUAAAGCGUGGCUGUCGCAGGUAA